UACAGGGGGUGCAAGCGUUGCUCGGAAUCACUGGGCGUAAAGCGUACGCAGGCGGACCGUUAAGUCGGGUGUGAAAGCCCGGGGCUCAACCCCGGAAUUGCAUUCGAUACUGGCGGUCUUGAGUACGGGAGAGGUGAGUGGAAUUCCUGGUGUAGAGGUGAAAUUCGUAGAUAUUCGGAGGAACACCAGUGGCGAAGGCGGCUCACUGGUCCAUUACUGACGCUGAGGUGCGAAAGCGUGGGGAGCAAACAGG
rnacentral:rRNA from 1 species